UGAAGAUCAAAUCGAGUUUGCAUUACAGACAUUAUUUACAGGGAUAGCAUGUGCUAACUUCUCAAGUAUCAGAAUAUUACCACAAGCUGUGCAAAUAAAAAGAAGAGUGAGGAUAAACAUGUAAAAAAACAAUUUCGUGAUAAUUUGCCGAGGACCAGACUUAGACCAAGUCCUAUGGAGUUUCAAAAAUAGACCUCUAUGUGAUCAUUCAGCUGUGGCACCAUCCAAAAUUUUAAUCACAUCUUUUGUAGGAAGAGUAGGAAUAGCCUCAAGUUUAACUCUACCUAUUCUUCUGUAAAAUCUUGCAAAAAUUUAUCUUCCCUGCCAAGAUGAAUCUUCACAAAUUAUAAUUUGUGAUAACAAUAUCAGAAGUGAAGCUCUUAAACUGUUACUGAUUUUAUACCCAAGUUGGAAAUAUUAAAACACUAAUGUUAGUGUAGUAUCAUUGUAUCAGCAGCCUUCUCCCCCUUCAGUAACCUGCAAAAGCCUAGGAUUCUGGUUGAAAACUGAAAAGUUUAGUUAUCACAACAUUGUCAUCUCAUUUGCAUUAUCACCAUUAGUUAACAAAGUGAUUUUGUGCUCCCUUGUCUGCUAUUUCGAUGCAAGCACAAGAUAAAGGACUUUUACUGCAAACAAAAACCACUACAACUAUGCCUCCAUUGCAAGCAAGUAGAGAUCAACUAUACAAGUCCUCACUUUUACUGCUAAGCCAGGGUUUAAAUUGUUUGUAAGCUUCAGUUACCUUGAUUAUGUAUGCCAGAUUGGCCCAAAAUGCUCAUGAUGCCUUUCCCAGCAGCCUCUGCCUAUGGCCAUAAAUGCAAAUCUUAGAUUGGGAUCUUUCGUACAAUUAAUAUUCAGCGUAGAGAAAGCUAAGUUUAUUUACCUUCUGAAUGAGAUAUUUGGCUAACUCUGCUUCAGUAAGGAGCAUUUUCAGCACUUGGAAACAUGAGCUCACUCUCACCAUCUGAUCUUAAGUUGACAGGAGGCCAAGGCUGUCUUUGCCUUUGGGAUCAAAACAGAUGCCUGAAUUAUUAACACGGUUCUCUUUUAAGUCAUCUGCUAGCAUAUGAGCUAUGACCAAACUGAUCUUCACAUACCUGAAACAAUGAUGAAAUCUUUCCAAUUAUCCUGGGAAAAUUUUGAGAGAAGCUCUCGAAUUAGCAAACGAGAGAACCAAGAAAACUGAUUAAGCAAGACUACCAUAAUGAUUAGUUACUACAGCAGUCCUUAGACAACAAAUAAAAGUGUCCUAUCUUUAACAAUAUAAGCUUCAAAACGAGACAAACAUUUCAGCAUAGUAUCAAAUUGGUUAAGGUCUUCUGGCUUCGUGGCUUUGAGUAUCACUGUCACCCACAAAAUAUCAAUGUGUUCGGCCCCAAAAAGUUGCAGGCCGGUAGUGUUUGACCAAAAUUUAGAUCUAGGUUUCAACAAUUAGAUUUUCUUAACAAGAUAAGAUUAAUCUUAGCCAACAACAAUAUCUACUAGAUUGUUUAACUAGUGUCGUGAUAAUAUGUUACAAGAUCUGUGGUAACAGUGAUGAAUAUAUAAUAAUGAAC
rnacentral:lncRNA from 1 species